rnacentral:tRNA from 1 species
GAGGAUGUAGCUCAGUGGUAGAGCGCCGGAUGAAAAUCCGGAAGUCAUGGGUUCGACUCCCGUCUUCUUCUCCA